rnacentral:rRNA from 1 species
GGUCAAGCUACUAAGGGCGUACGGUGGAUGCCUAGGCAGAGAGAGGCGAUGAAGGACGUGGUAAACUGCGAUAAGCUUCGGUGAGCCGUUAAACAGGCUUUGACCCGGAGAUUUCCGAAUGGGGAAACCCGGCAGGGGUAAUGCCUUGUCACUGUGUACUGAAUACAUAGGUACAUAGAGCGAACGAGGGGAACUGAAACAUCUAAGUACCCUCAGGAGAAGAAAACAAUAGUGAUUCCGUAAGUAGCGGCGAGCGAAAGCGGAGAAGCCCAAACCAAUACUACUUCGGUGGUAUCGGGGUUGUGGGACCUCGACGUGGGAUUGAUGAUAAGUAGCCGAGCGGUCUGGAAAGGCCGGCCAUAGUGGGUGAUAGCCCCGUAAGCGAAACUUUGACUCACCCUAGAGGUAUCCCGAGUACCGCGGGACACGAGAAAUCCCGUGGGAAUCCAGGAGGACCAUCUCCUAAGGCUAAAUACUCCUCUCUGACCGAUAGUGAACCAGUACCGUGAGGGAAAGGUGAAAAGUACUCCGAUAAGGAGGGUGAAAUAGAACCUGAAACCGUAUGCCUACAAGCAGUGGGAGCACCAUGUAUAUCAGGUGUGACCGCGUGCCUUUUGCAUAAUGAGUCAGCGAGUUACUCUUGCUAGCGAGGUUAAGUUCAUGGAACGGAGCCGAAGCGAAAGCGAGUCUUAACUGGGCGUCCAGUUAGCAGGAGUAGACCCGAAACCGGGUGAUCUAUCCAUGGCCAGGGUGAAAGGAAGGUAACACUUCGUGGAGGCCCGAACCCACUGGCGUUGAAAAGCCAGGGGAUGAGCUGUGGAUAGGAGUGAAAGGCUAAUCAAACUCGGAGAUAGCUGGUUUUCCUCGAAAUAUAUUUAGGUAUAGCCUCGAGUAUGCGUGACGGGGGUAGAGCACUGGAUGGGCUAGGGGUCUCACCAGAUUACCAAACCCAAUCAAACUCCGAAUACCGUCAACGAAGAGCUCGGGAGUCAGACGGCGGGUGAUAAGAUCCGUCGUCAAAAGGGAAAGAGCCCAGACCGCCAGCUAAGGUCCCAAAAUCUACGCUAAGUGGAAAACGAUGUGGAAAUGCCCAGACAACCAGGAGGUUGGCUUAGAAGCAGCCACCCUUUAAAGAAAGCGUAAUAGCUCACUGGUCGAGUGGGUCUGCGC